rnacentral:lncRNA from 1 species
UAUAAAUUGAUGAAACAUGUCAUUUGUAAUAUACACAUGUAAAAAAAUAUGACUAAAAUUCUCAUGUUUGUGUAUGUUAAUGUUAUGGUCCUCUUUCUUUUUCUAUUUCUUACUAUAACUGGAGUCAGCGGUAAGAUUUUCUUCUCAUAAUUUUCUUUAUCUUUAUACAUAAUAUUUCAUCCAAUUUCAAUGACACUCAUUUAAUCUUAUUUUACAUCACAGCAUUGGGUGAAUUUUGUUGUUUCAAUGGUGAUUGUUCGAGCUCUGAUUGCGAUAUACCUAAGGUUGGGACUUGCAUCAAGCGUCAUUGUUUGUGCUUGUAGUAAUUAAGUAUUGAAAAUGAUUUCAAUGUUAAUUAUAAUCACAUUAUUUUGGUGGUUGGUUUACAAGCAGAAUAUUUUACUAGCAGCUAAAAUAAUGUAUCUCUUAUUAUUUCUCGAGCAUAUCAAUUUAUAUCUUCUAAUUGUCCUGUUGUUACCUUUGUUUGCCAUCAAGAACCAAUGUUCAAUAAAUAAAGGAAAAAAUAGAGGUAAAUAAUUGUGUAAACAUUUAUUCGUUUAUUUAGCUUAAGAAUGGCGUAGCUUAAGAAUGGCGUGUAAUAUAAAUUAAAUAAAUAUGAUGUAUUUAAAGAAACUAAAUUGUAGGAUAUAAAGUUGU